AACAGAGAUGGCAUUUUAAUGGAUUAAAGAAAUCCAAGCCAUGUGAUAAUUUGGAAAUGAACUAUAGGCAUUUACAACAUGAUAAAGAAGAUGGAAAAGAUGUUUAAUCUUUUAGGAGAUAUAAAGAAUGUCAUGAUCAUAUAGUGAAUAUUAAGGAUAAGCAAACAAGAGCCACCUAAGAUGAUGUUCAAGAUUCUUCUUUGAAAGAAAAAUAACAAGUUCUGAAUAUACUCAAGAUGAGAAAAUCAUAUAAGAGAUAAAUGAGGAAAGCAAAGAAGACUCACCUCAAAUCCAUAAAUGCCCUACCUUGUUCUGGAUUCUGUUGUGGUACUUUCAUAUUUUCAUGCAUAAAAACUACUUAGCUGCACAGUGCAUAA